rnacentral:rRNA from 1 species
AGUGGACGCUGGCGGUAGGCCUAACACAUGCAAGUCGAACGGCAGCACAGUAAGAGCUUGCUCUUACGGGUGGCGAGUGGCGGACGGGUGAGGAAUACAUCGGAAUCUACUUUUUCGUGGGGGAUAACGUAGGGAAACUUACGCUAAUACCGCAUACGACCUACGGGUGAAAGCAGGGGAUCUUCGGACCUUGCGCGAUUGAAUGAGCCGAUGUCGGAUUAGCUAGUUGGCGGGGUAAAGGCCCACCAAGGCGACGAUCCGUAGCUGGUCUGAGAGGAUGAUCAGCCACACUGGAACUGAGACACGGUCCAGACUCCUACGGGAGGCAGCAGUGGGGAAUAUUGGGCAAUGAGCGCAAGCCUGAUCCAGCCAUACCGCGUGGGUGAAGAAGGCCUUCGGGUUGUAAAGCCCUUUUGUUGGGAAAGAAAAGCAGCAGGUUAAUACCCCGCUGUUCUGACGGUACCCAAAGAAUAAGCACCGGCUAACUUCGUG